CCUACGGGAGGCAGCAGUGAGGAAUAUUGGACAAUGGGCGCAAGCCUGAUCCAGCCAUGCCGCGUGCAGGAUGACGGUCCUAUGGAUUGUAAACUGCUUUUGCACAGGAAGAAACAACGCUACGUGUAGCGUCUUGACGGUACUGUGAGAAUAAGGAUCGGCUAACUCCGUGCCAGCAGCCGCGGUAAUACGGAGGAUCCAAGCGUUAUCCGGAAUCAUUGGGUUUAAAGGGUCCGUAGGCGGUUUAGUAAGUCAGUGGUGAAAGCCCAUCGCUCAACGGUGGAACGGCCAUUGAUACUGCUAGACUUGAAUUAUUAGGAAGUAACUAGAAUAUGUAGUGUAGCGGUGAAAUGCUUAGAGAUUACAUGGAAUACCAAUUGCGAAGGCAGGUUACUACUAAUGGAUUGACGCUGAUGGACGAAAGCGUGGGUAGCGAACAGGAUUAGAUACCCUGGUAGUCCACGCCGUAAACGAUGGAUACUAGCUGUUAGGGAGCGAGUCUCAGUGGUGUAGACGAAGUAGAGUAAGUAAUACCGACCGUACGGGUAGGUACGGUUACGUCGAAGAAGUAGAAACGUAACGAAAGUAGUAAGUUAGUACGGUACGUAGAGGACGUUAGGCGACGGACGGACGACGAGGGGAGGUAGG
rnacentral:rRNA from 1 species